rnacentral:lncRNA from 1 species
GAGCCCAUUCUCCCGUGACGGUGACUCCAACGGUUGGCUGAGGACGAUUCCCUGAGCCUUGACAAAGCAGGAGCCCUCCGUGGCGGUGCGUCGGUGUCGAGGCUCCAGUCUGACUAAUCCAGGGGGUCGACAAAACAGAUUCGGGACACUAUGCUACACGGAGGGCCUACCAGGAUGCAGAAACAGCAGACGGAGUCCAGGGAAAGCAGUGCGGCAUCCCAGCCUCAGGCCUGCCCGUACGGUGUUCGGACGGAAUGAAGUUGAUAAUAGUGAGACCUUGUUGGUACAAGACUAUGUAACAUAACCUGCGCUUCUCAACAAAGAAUUGCUUUUCUGACUUCUGCACUCAAUAGCAAGACAAAUCUCUCCUCUGCCUUCUCCUUAUCAGACUACUCAACAUGAAGGCAAUAAGAAUGAAGACCUCUAUGUAUAAUAAUUGACUUCCACUUAAUAAAUAGCACCUCCUACGAACCAGGAUCUGUACUUGCUGUCCCAGUUAUAAAGUAAAACAGCCUGUCCUUCCUGCACUCAAGGAGACAGCUCCAUAAGCGGGGAGCUUGUUAAAAAUGCAGAAUUUGGGGAACUAUUCACAGAGAUUUUUACUAAGUUACGUGGAAAAAAGCCUGGGACUAGCUACGAUCUCCCCUCUGGUGAUUUGGAUGUGAUAGUCUCUUAAACAUAUUUUGAAAUAUACUCGCCCAAAGAAUGGAGAAAGACCCAGCCGGCCCUCCUCAUGUGGCUGCUGAGGGAGAUAUAUGUAUAAUUAAAAAACUGCCAAAAACAAA